UACGGGGGGGGUAAGCGUUGUUCGGAAUUACUGGGCGUAAAGGGCGCGUAGGCGGCUGCUCAAGUCGGGUGUGAAAGCCCGGGGCUCAACCCCGGAACGGCACCCGAGACUGGGCGGCUCGAGACCGGGAGAGGUGGGUGGAAUACCCAGUGUAGAGGUGAAAUUCGUAGAUAUUGGGUGGAACACCGGUGGCGAAAGCGGCUCACUGGCCCGGUUCUGACGCUGAGGCGCGAAAGCGUGGGGAGCAAACAGG
rnacentral:rRNA from 1 species